UGGGGAAUAUUGGACAAUGGGCGAAAGCCUGAUCCAGCCAUGUCGCGUGUGUGAAGAAGGUCUUCGGAUUGUAAAGCACUUUAAGUUGGGAGGAAGGGCAGUAAGCGAAUACCUUGCUGUUUUGACGUUACCGACAGAAUAAGCACCGGCUAACUCUGUGCCAGCAGCCGCGGUAAUACAGAGGGUGCAAGCGUUAAUCGGAAUUACUGGGCGUAAAGCGCGCGUAGGUGGUUCGUUAAGUUGAAUGUGAAAGCCCCGGGCUCAACCUGGGAACUGCAUCCAAAACUGGCGAGCUAGAGUAGGGCAGAGGGUGGUGGAAUUUCCUGUGUAGCGGUGAAAUGCGUAGAUAUAGGAAGGAACACCAGUGGCGAAGGCGACCACCUGGGCUCAUAAUGACACUGAGGUGCGAAAGCGUGGGGGGCAAACAGG
rnacentral:rRNA from 1 species